CCCUACGCAGCAGGGCGUGGGGAGAAGUCCUACGCCGAUGCCUUCUUGAACUCCGUCAUCACGACGCGCAACCUCCUGGAUGCUUGUUUGAGCCACCGCUGUCUGAAGCGGUUUGUGAACGUGAGCUCCUUUGCAGUAUACACGAAUCGGGACAAACCACGUGGAUGCUUGUUGAACGAGGACUGCCCAUUGGAAUCACAUCCGCAGCUCCGAGGGAACGCAUACUGUUACGCCAAGGUGAGGCAGGAGGAAGUGGUCGUCGCCUACGGUCGUGGGCGCGGCGUGCCUAUUGUCAUUUUGCGUCCCGGCGUAGUAUACGGUCCGGUGAACGAACAAAUCCACAGUCGCGUGGGGAUUGGGACCUUCGGCGUCUUCUUGCAUCUAGGCGGAUCGAACCCCGUUCCGCUUACUUUCGUUGACAACUGUGCCGAGGCGGUUGUCUUGGCUGGAAUCGUGCCUGGAAUUGGCGGGAGAGC
rnacentral:rRNA from 1 species